rnacentral:rRNA from 1 species
UACGUAGGGUGCAAGCGUUAAUCGGAAUUACUGGGCGUAAAGGGCUCGUAGGCGGCCAACUAAGUCAGACGUGAAAUCCCUCGGCUUAACCGGGGAACUGCGUCUGAUACUGGAUGGCUUGAGUUUGGGAGAGGGAUGCGGAAUUCCAGGUGUAGCGGUGAAAUGCGUAGAUAUCUGGAGGAACACCGGUGGCGAAGGCGGCAUCCUGGACCGACACUGACGCUGAGGAGCGAAAGCCAGGGGAGCAAACGGG